rnacentral:rRNA from 1 species
UACGAAGGGGGCUAGCGUUGCUCGGAAUCACUGGGCGUAAAGGGUGCGUAGGCGGGUUUUUAAGUCAGAGGUGAAAUCCUGGAGCUCAACUCCAGAACUGCCUUUGAUACUGAAAGUCUUGAGUAUGGGAGAGGUGAGUGGAACUGCGAGUGUAGAGGUGAAAUUCGUAGAUAUUCGCAAGAACACCAGUGGCGAAGGCGGCUCACUGGCCCAUAACUGACGCUGAGGCACGAAAGCGUGGGGAG